AGAGUUUUGAAUCACAGCAUUGGAAUUGCCACCAGAUUCAGAGCCCUAUAUCAGGACUCUGCAGGAUAUAUGGGAUUCUAUUUUCCACGUUUAUAAGAAACCUAACUACUUCAAAAGGACAUUGAAGACAAAUCCUUCCCUGUACCAAGUAUCCCUCCUCCCACUGGAUUCACACAGUCAACACUCUGGAAAGAGGAAGCCUGUGAAGGAUCACAAGGGGAUUUCAGUGGGGUACUCCCUCCUGCAGCCAAGGGCUUCUGUCAAGGACUGACUGGAACUCGGAACAACCUCGUGUAGUGGAAGAUUCCCUGCCCAUGGCAGGGGGAUGGAACUGGAGGAUCUUUAAGGUCCGUUCCAACCCAGGCCGUUCUGUGAUAAAGGAUUACUGAUUUCUGUGAAGGAUUGACAGCAGUGCCGGAGGGCAAUUCCACGCUUCCUGGUGCCUAGAGAAGGAGUCCUUCCCCUUUCCCCACAACCUGGUUUAGGGAGAAGCUGCAGUUUCAUUUGCCAUCAAAACGCGACCCCUGCUGGAGGACCGAGGAUGUGACUUCCAGUUAUUCAUAUGGACAACCCCACACACAGAGCGGCACAGAUGUGAUUAAUGUGAUAUGAUACAGCUGUCACUGGCUGCAGGCAAUCACAAACAACUAAAGGAAGGUUGGCUUAAAGAGACUUCUUAUUCACCCAACAGCAAAGGUAAAAAAAGGUUUUCUGGAUAUUGUUUUUUGGUUGGUUGGUUGUGGUUUUGGUUUUAUUUUUGGGUUUUUUCAUGCAUGGGAUUGUGUUUUACAGAAUUGCAGGAACCAGUGGGUUUUUCCUGCAGGGCUCUGUGUGUGUAAUUUUUUUUUUUUUUUUAACGGGGGUUCUGGAUAUCAAAUCUUCAGGCAGAAAGUUUUCCAAACACUUGUAGUAGCAGCAGUGGAUUUGAGGAUGUAGUUUGUUCUUAGAGUUAUACCAACCUGACAUUUUCCCAAAGGCAAAAUAUUUAAAUAAAAACAAAGAGAGUGUCAGGCUGGUAGGAGUUUUGUAAACAUAUGUCUAAUUUAGUGUGUAAGGAAAAUAAAUUCCACUUGUUGGGGCCUAGGCCUGCCCUGGUUGCCACGUGGGCUGUAGCAGUUUCCUGCUGGCCUGGCUGUGUCUUUUAAAAGGGCCCAGCUGGAGUGAGCAUCACUGCCUGGGGAGCAGCUGAUGUUGCUGAGUAGAUGACAGAGGUCCUGCAGGGGCAGAUAUUGCUGAAAUGAAACACCUGUCCAACAGGAAAAGGUGCGUGUGCUGCGGGAAGGAACCCACAUGCCUGGGAUGUGAAGGUAGAGGUGGCUGGAUACCAGGGGUUGGCUAAGAGCUGAAAUCUUUGGGGAACAGAGAAGGUGUCAACCGCAGAGGCUGCUGUAGUAUCCUAGAGCCACAUGAGAGUGGCAGUGGGAUGGGAUCAGACCCUGUGGAGCAACCAGAGGGAGCCAGUGAAUUCCAGCAGGUGUUGCAGGACCACAGAAUGUGUUCUUGUAGAAAGAGUCCCCAACAGUGCCAUGUCCUGCAGGUUUGCUGCAAAGGGGCCCUUGUGCUAAGCUGGUUUCUAACCAUGAUUCUGAAAGGUUUAAGUUAGUAGCUCUUAUAGGGAAAAGCUGAUGUUUAUCAGAUAAAGGAGCAUGCUGCCGUAUGGUUUUGUACUGCAGAUGCAUGUCCAUGAUUGCAAUGGCUGACAGGGCCCAGUGUGGUAGUGGAGCAGGAGCUGCUCAUUCAGAAUGGCUCAGACUGGAGCCUGCCCUGCCUGGAGCAGAGCUCCUGUGAGAUCCCAGCAGCCUGAAUUCCCAGCUGGCCUCACACAGACACUGGGGCCAUCCUCUUCCAGGCCUCUGUGGAGUAUUUCAGGUUGCAAACAGCCCUGAGGUUUCCAUAUCCUGUGGGAUGUGCUGAGGGAUCGCUCCUUUGGUACCUGGCAGGAGAACAGCCACUGAAGCACAAACCAGCAGUGCCACAUCAACUUUUGUCCAAGGGUUAAGUGCCAAAAUAGGGAAGUGGAAGCUGCAUAAUUUUAUAAAUCCUGCUUUGUUGUCAAAGACCAAAUACUUCCUGUUUGGGGAUGCAGGGCUGUUUCCAUUUCCAUUGUAAAUGGUGAGGGACUGCCCAUAAACCUCACAUUUACUUCACUAUUUCUGAUGCUUUCUACAUGUGCUGAAACAACUUCCAGGUGGCCAUGACAUUUUGUCAAAAAUAGAGAUGGCAGUUGGGAAAGGAAAAGUAGUUUAAUGUCAGCCUAAUUUAAAAAGCAUUUUCUUUAUUGGAGUUAAAAAGAGUUGAGUACAUCACCAGUGUUGCACAUUUGUUGUAGAAAUUCUAUUUUUGUUACAAAUCAACUGAGAUUUCAGUGUUUUCA